CUCCUCUCCUGUCUCACUUCUGCAGUGCAGCCCUAUGCUGCACUUUGUGCUCUUUAUUUAUUAUAUUCAUUGAUCAGCAAGACACCGUGUGAAAAAGGAUGUCUCCUUUACCUCAGAAAAAAACCUUCCUCCCUUCCACCAUGGCCCUGUCAUCCAGUGUGCAAUAGCUCGGGUGGCCCUCCACACUGCACUGGGACUUCAGGGACUAAUCACAGAUAGCUGCCCAUCCUAUUUCCAGUUCUCACAGUGACAUUCACCUCAGGGGAGGGCUCGGCAAGGUUGUAGACAAGAGAGGUCUGCAUUUUCCACAGAACUUCUCUCCCCUCGCCGCUGCUGCAGGUCAGACAAGAUCCAGAUCCAUCACUCUUCACCCCUUCACCACCACCACCACCACCAGUGUCUAGACUCCAUCGGGGGGAUAUUACAGCUCAUGGCAUCAGUAUCACCUUAAAAUAAUGACAUCACGAUGGGGUCUAAUAGCCAAACACUCCUCUCAUAUUUCUGCAACUUUCCUAUUGUUCAACUAUGGGAACAAAUGAAUUACUCUCCAAGUUUCCUUUUCACUUGAGUCACUCCUGAAUGGAAUAAAUGGCAGAAACAUCUUUUAUUCUGUCGUCACCUUGA